GAUGAAGAACGUAGCGAAAUGCGAUACUUGGUGUGAAUUGCAGAAUCCCGUGAACCAUCGAGUCUUUGAACGCAAGUUGCGCCCGAAGCCAUCAGGUUGAGGGCACGUCUGCCUGGGCGUCACAUAUCGUUGCCCAAUGCCUAUUGCAGUGCAAUAGGAAUUUCUAGGGCGAAUGAUGGCUUCCCGUGAGCGUUGUUGCCCCGCGGUUGGUUGAAAAUCGAGUCCUUGGUAGGGUGUGCCAUGGUAGAUGGUGGUCGAGUUAGAACGAUACCGAUCAUGUGCAUGCUCCCCAAAAUAUGGCCUCUAUGACCCACACGCGUCUUUUGACGCUCAUGACGAGACCUCAGGUCAGGCGGGGCUACCCGCUGAAUUUAAGCAUAUCAAUAAGCGGAGGA
rnacentral:misc_RNA from 1 species